rnacentral:rRNA from 1 species
AGCGCAGGCGGACCGGCAAGUUGGAAGUGAAAACUAUGGGCUCAACCCAUAAAUUGCUUUCAAAACUGCUGGCCUUGAGUAGUGCAGAGGUAGGUGGAAUUCCCGGUGUAGCGGUGGAAUGCGUAGAUAUCGGGAGGAACACCAGUGGCGAAGGCGACCUACUGGGCACCAACUGACGCUGAGGCUCGAAAGCAUGGGUGCAAACA